rnacentral:tmRNA from 1 species
GGCCUUUCAUUUCCGCGCAACGCCCCCUAUAUUCGAUUUGUCGGCUUGACCGACUAUGGCGAUAAAUGGGCGAUGAAAUAAGCCGUUCGGACCCGGGGGCGGUACCCGGCGCCUCCACCAAAAGCCGCUGUGGGGGCGAAAUAGGAUCGACGAAGGUGUAAAGAUCGUACUUUUGCCCGGCAUUGUACCACCGUCAUCGGGCUAAACUUAUAGUUGCCAACGACAACUAUGCGGAAGCACGUCUCGCUGCUUAAUGCAGUGCGAUAGCUUCAAAUCAAGCCCUAGGGGUUCGCACUUCUAGGCGGGGUUCGGAGGUACCUGGCAACAGAAACCUCCACU